UACGAAGGGGGCUAGCGUUGCUCGGAAUCACUGGGCGUAAAGGGUGCGUAGGCGGGGGUUUAAGUCAGGGGGGAAAUCCUGGAGCUCAACUCCAGAACUGCCUUUGAUACUGAAGAUCUUGAGUUCGGGAGAGGUGAGUGGAACUGCGAGUGUAGAGGUGAAAUUCGUAGAUAUUCCCAAGAACACCAGUGGCGAAGGCGGCUCACUGGCCCGAUACUGACGCUGAGGCACGAAAGCGUGGGGAGCAAACAGG
rnacentral:rRNA from 1 species